UACGGGGGGGGCAAGCGUUGUUCGGAAUUACUGGGCGUAAAGGGCUCGUAGGUGGCCAACUAAGUCAGACGUGAAAUCCCUCGGCUUAACCGGGGAACUGCGUCUGAUACUGGAUGGCUUGAGUUUGGGAGAGGGACGCGGAAUUCCAGGUGUAGCGGUGAAAUGCGUAGAUAUCUGGAGGAACACCGGUGGCGAAGGCGGCAUCCUGGACCGGCAUUGACGCUGAGGAGCGAAAGCUAGGGGAGCAAACGGG
rnacentral:rRNA from 1 species